rnacentral:rRNA from 1 species
UACGUAGGCAGCAAGCGUUGUUCGGAAUUACUGGGCGUAAAGCGCGUGUAGGCUGCUUCGCAAGUCGGAUGUGAAAGCCCUGGGCUCAACCUAGGAAGUGCAUUCGAAACUGCGAAGCUGGAGUCCUGGAGAGGAAGGCGGAAUUCUCGGUGUAGAGGUGAAAUUCGUAGAUAUCGAGAGGAACACCGGUGGCGAAGGCGGCCUUCUGGACAGUGACUGACGCUGAGACGCGAAAGCGUGGGGAGCAAACAGG